AGCUUAUCUUGCGCAGCUUAGGUGGGAGGCUAUGAACCUUUUCUUCUGGGAAGAGGGGAGCCAUCAGUGAGAUACCACUCUUGGUAAGCUAGAGCGCUCAGUCUUCACCGUCAUCCGGUAAGACGACAGUUUCAGGCGGGCAGUUUGACUGGGGCAGUCACCUCCCAAAAGGUAAUGGAGGUGUGCAAAGGUUCCCUCAGGCUGGACGGAAAUCAGCCAUAGAGUGUAAAAGCAUAAGGGAGCUUGACUGCGAGACUGACAUGUCAAGCAGAGACGAAUGUCGGCUUUAGUGAUCCGACGGUGCUGUGUGGAAAGGCCGUCGCUCAACGGAUAAAAGUUACUCUAGGGAUAACA
rnacentral:rRNA from 1 species